AUUGAACGCUGGCGGCAUGCUUUACACAUGCAAGUCGAACGGUAACAGGCCGCAAGGUGCUGACGAGUGGCGAACGGGUGAGUAAUGCAUCGGAACGUGCCCAGUCGUGGGGGAUAACGUAGCGAAAGCUACGCUAAUACCGCAUACGAUCUAAGGAUGAAAGCGGGGGAUCGCAAGACCUCGCGCGAAUGGAGCGGCCGAUGGCAGAUUAGGUAGUUGGUAGGGUAAAGGCCUACCAAGCCGACGAUCUGUAGCUGGUCUGAGAGGAUGAUCAGCCACACUGGGACUGAGACACGGCCCAGACUCCUACGGGAGGCAGCAGUGGGGAAUUUUGGACAAUGGACGCAAGUCUGAUCCAGCCAUUCCGCGUGCAGGAUGAAGGCCCUCGGGUUGUAAACUGCUUUUGUACAGAACGAAAAGGCUCCGGUUAAUACCUGGGGCUCAUGACGGUACUGUAAGAAUAAGCACCGGCUAACUACGUGCCAGCAGCCGCCGUAAAAC
rnacentral:rRNA from 1 species